GACGAACGCUGGCGGCGUGCUUAACACAUGCAAGUCGAACGGAAAGGCCUCUUUCGGGGGGUACUCGAGUGGCGAACGGGUGAGUAACACGUGAGUAACCUGCCCUUGACUUUGGGAUAACUUCAGGAAACUGGGGCUAAUACCGGAUAGGAGCUCCUGCUGCAUGGUGGGGGUUGGAAAGUUUCGGCGGUUGGGGAUGGACUCGCGGCUUAUCAGCUUGUUGGUGGGGUAGUGGCUUACCAAGGCUUUGACGGGUAGCCGGCCUGAGGGGGUGACCGGCGGCAUAGGGACUGAGGGACGGCCGAGGCACGUACGGGAGGCAACAGUGGGGAAGAUUGAAGGAGGAGUGGAGGCCUGAUGCUGCAGCGCCGUGGGCGGGAUGACGGCGUUCGGGUGGUAGAACGCAUUCGCACAUGACGGAGCUUUGUGUGACGGUAGUUGAUAAGAAAGCACCGGCUAACUACGUG
rnacentral:rRNA from 1 species